AGUGAACGCUGGCGGUAGGCCUAACACAUGCAAGUCGAACGGCAGCACAGUAAGAGCUUGCUCUUACGGGUGGCGAGUGGCGGACGGGUGAGGAAUACAUCGGAAUCUACUUUUUCGUGGGGGAUAACGUAGGGAAACUUACGCUAAUACCGCAUACGACCUACGGGUGAAAGCAGGGGAUCUUCGGACCUUGCGCGAUUGAAUGAGCCGAUGUCGGAUCAGCUAGUUGGCGGGGUAAAGGCCCACCAAGGCGACGAUCCGUAGCUGGUCCGAGAGGAUGAUCAGCCACACUGGAACUGAGACACGGUCCAGACUCCUACGGGAGGCAGCAGUGGGGAAUAUUGGACAAUGGGCGCAAGCCUGAUCCAGCCAUACCGCGUGGGUGAAGAAGGCCUUCGGGUUGUAAAGCCCUUUUGUUGGGAAAGAAAAGCAGCAGGUUAAUACCCCGCUGUUCUGACGGUACCCAAAGAAUAAGCACCGGCUAACUUCGUG
rnacentral:rRNA from 1 species